rnacentral:rRNA from 1 species
CCUACGGGUGGCAGCAGUGGGGAAUAUUGGGCAAUGGGCGCAAGCCUGACCCAGCAACGCCGCGUGAAGGAAGAAGGCUUUCGGGUUGUAAACUUCUUUUCUCAGGGACGAAGAAAGUGACGGUACCUGAGGAAUAAGCCACGGCUAACUACGUGCCAGCAGCCGCGGUAAUACGUAGGUGGCAAGCGUUAUCCGGAUUUAUUGGGUUUAAAGGGUGCGCAGGCGGCCUGUUAAGUCAGCGGUAAAAGCCCGGGGCUCAACCCCGGCGAGCCGUUGAAACUGGCGGGCUGGAGUUGGAGAGAAGUACGCGGAAUGCGCGGUGUAGCGGUGAAAUGCUUAGAUAUCGCGCAGAACCCCGAUUGCGAAGGCAGCGUACCGGCUCCACACUGACGCUGAGGCACGAAAGCGUGGGUAUCGAACAGGAUUAGAUACCCCAGUAGUC